AUACAUGCAAGUAGACNGCUGAAGAGAGGAGCUGCUCUUUCUUGGAUGAGUUGCGAACGGGUGAGUAACGCGUAGGUAACUGCCUUGUAGCGGGGGAUAACUAUUGGAAACGAUAGCUAAUACCGCAUAACAAUGGAUGACACAUGUCAUUUAUUUGAAAGGGGCAAAUGCUCCACUACAAGAUGGACCUGCGUUGUAUUAGCUAGUAGGUGAGGUAACGGCUCACCUAGGCGACGAUACAUAGCCGACCUGAGAGGGUGAUCGGCCACACUGGGACUGAGACACGGCCCAGACUCCUACGGGAGGCAGCAGUAGGGAAUCUUCGGCAAUGGGGGCAACCCUGACCGAGCAACGCCGCGUGAGUGAAGAAGGUUUUCGGAUCGUAAAGCUCUGUUGUAAGUCAAGAACGAGUGUGAGAGUGGAAAGUUCACACUGUGACGGUAGCUUACCAGAAAGGGACGGCUAACUACGUGCCAGCAGCCGCGGUAAUACGUAGGUCCCGAGCGUUGUCCGGAUUUAUUGGGCGUAAAGCGAGCGCAGGCGGUUUGGUAAGUCUGAAGUUAAAGGCUGUGGCUCAACCAUAGUUCGCUUUGGAAACUGUCAAACUUGAGUGCAGAAGGGGAGAGUGGAAUUCCAUGUGUAGCGGUGAAAUGCGUAGAUAUAUGGAGGAACACCGGUGGCGAAAGCGGCUCUCUGGUCUGUAACUGACGCUGAGGCUCGAAAGCGUGGGGAGCGAACAGGAUUAGAUACCCUGGUAGUCCACGCCGUAAACGAUGAGUGCUAGGUGUUGGAUCCUUUCCGGGAUUCAGUGCCGCAGCUAACGCAUUAAGCACUCCGCCUGGGGAGUACGACCGCAAGGUUGAACUAAAGGAAUUGACGGGGGCCCGCACAAGCGGUGGAGCAUGUGGUUUAAUUCGAAGCAACGCGAAGAACCUUACCAGGUCUUGACAUCCCGAUGCUAUUUCUAGAGAUAGAAAGUUACUUCGGUACAUCGGUGACAGGUGGUGCAUGGUUGUCGUCAGCUCGUGUCGUGAGAUGUUGGGUUAAGUCCCGCAACGAGCGCAACCCCUAUUGUUAGUUGCCAUCAUUCAGUUGGGCACUCUAGCGAGACUGCCGGUAAUAAACCGGAGGAAGGUGGGGAUGACGUCAAAUCAUCAUGCCCCUUAUGACCUGGGCUACACACGUGCUACAAUGGUUGGUACAACGAGUUGCGAGUCGGUGACGGCAAGCUAAUCUCUUAAAGCCAAUCUCAGUUCGGAUUGUAGGCUGCAACUCGCCUACAUGAAGUCGGAAUCGCUAGUAAUCGCGGAUCAGCACGCCGCGGUGAAUACGUUCCCGGGCCUUGUACACACCGCCCGUCACACCACGAGAGUUUGUAACCCCGAAAGUCGGUGAGGUAACCUUUGGAGCCUGCCGCCUAAGGUGGGAUAGAUGAU
rnacentral:rRNA from 1 species